rnacentral:rRNA from 1 species
UAUUUUAUUCGCUAAUGCCAACAAUGGAUGCCUAGGAGGCUUUGGCCGAGGAAGGACGCAUAUGGCGGCGAUACUCGUCGGGUAGGUGCCAUAAACCUAUAAUCCGGCGGUUUCCGAAUGGAGUAAUCCACUCCGAUUUAAUCGGGGUAACCAGACAUGAAGUUAAUUCAGCAAUGAGUUAUAUUAAUGUUUGGUGGGGCACGGUGUGAACUGAAACAUCUAAGUAGCACCAGGAAAAGAAAUCAUAGAGAUUCCCCAAGUAGCGGCGAGCGAAAAGGGAAGAGCCUAAACUUUGUCGAAAGACAGAGGGUUGCAGGGCAGACGAUAUUUGAGUGUUAAAGAUAACAGAAUAGUCCGGAAUGACUAUCCAAAGAGAGUGAAAGACUCGUAUGUGAAAUUUUUGACACCAAUAGUUUGUUCCUAAGUACCACGGGACACGAGAAAUCCUGUGGGAAUCUGGGGCGACCACGUUCCAAGGCUAAAUACCAAAGUCUACCGAUAGUGAACUAGUACCGCGAGGGAAAGGUGAAAAGCACCCCGGGAGGGGAAUGAAAUAGACCUGAAAUUGUUGGCUGACAAGCAGACAGAGCUUGUGCGCAGCACAAGGAAUUCAAAGAUAAGUCAAAAGUUAAAAUUUAAAAGUCAAAAAUACAAGUUAAAAUUCAAAAGUGUUUAGAACAAAAGUUACUAAACUUUUUACUUUUGAAUUGCAAUUUUGCAUUUUGACUUUUGCCUUUUGAAUUUAUUGUUUGACUUUCUCGUGCUGUGCACGAGUAAUGUCGUGCCUAUUGAAGAAUGAACCGGUGAGUGUUCCGUAGCAGGCUUAGGUUAACCAAGUUCAACUUGGGGAGCCAUAGUGAAAGCAAGGUCUAACUGACCAAUCUUUUGUCUGUGCGGAAUGACCCGAAACCGGGUGAGCUAACCUUGGGCAGGGUGAACUCCGAUGAAAAUCGGAGGGAGGCCCGAACUCGUAUCCGUAGCAAUGGGUUGAGAUGACCUGAGGUUAGGGGCAAUAUGCCAAACGAACCCGGAGAUAGCUGGUUCUCCCCGAAAUAUAUUUUGGUAUAGCGGUCGCCUCCAUUUUCCAGGGGUAGAGCACUGAAUGGUUCGCGGCGGCGCAAGCUGUCGCAACCAAUCAAACUCCGAAUACUGGAAAAUUACGGCGUACUAGUCAGACUGUUCGGGCUAAGCUGAUCAGUCGAAAGGGAAACAACCCAGACUCUCAUCUAAGGCCUCUAAAUGAAGACUAAGUUUGUAAGGAAGUCAAGUUCCGUAGACAACCAGGAGGUUGGCUUAGAAGCAGCCAUCCUUUAAAGAUAGCGUAACAGCUCACUGGCGGACUGGUACUUGGCGCCGAAAAUGUAUCGAGGAUUAAGUCUUCUGCCGAAGAUAGAGAUGCUUGUCCCGCUUUGCGGGAUAAGUGUGGUAGGGGAGCGUCUUAAGUGCAGUGAAGCUGUGGUGUAAACCGUGGUGGAGCGCUUAGGAGUGAGAAUGCCGGUAUGAGUAGCGAGAUCCCGAUGAGAAGUCGGGACGCCGAAAGCCCAAGGUUUCCUCUGCAAUGUAAUUCAGCGGAGGGUUAGUCGGUCCUAAGGGUGGCCCACGUAUAAUUGGGGGGUAGCCCGAUGGACAAGUCGUUAAAAUUCGACUACAGAAUAUGAGAGUCUCCAAGGGGAUGACGAAGAUGGAAGAAUCAACCUUGUGCGUUGCACAAGAACAUUGAACAGUGAACGAAAAACGUUCCUAGUUCGAAGUUCUCGCGCAGCGUGCGAGACCAAGCAGUAAAGUAGUGGUAACUGGAAAAUCCGUUACUAUGUUUAAAUGAGCUGUGAUGGAAAGGUUUUUAGCAAUAAAGAUCGAUUUGAUGACUUUCAACUUCCAGGAAAAAUCUCAUUGGUCCUGAGAGUAAUCGAAGGAAAACUCAUAUUCUACCGUACCGUAUUACCGACACAGGUGGGCUGGUCGAGAAGACUAAGGCGAUCGGGAGAAGGAUGGUCAAGGAACUCGGCAAAAAAACUGGGCGUAACCUAUGGGAGAUGCCCUGCCCCGAUUUUAUCGGGGCUACAACAAAAGUUUACUUAGCGACUGUUUAUCUAAAACACAGGUCCCUGCAAAGCCGAAAGGCAAAGUAUAGGGGCUGACGCCUGCCCAGUGCUGGUAAGUUAAAGAUCGUUGGUGACCCUCGCAAGAGGUCAGCUAGUGAUCUAAGCUCCAGU